GACGAACGCUGGCGGCGUGCUUAGCACAUGCAAGUCGAACGAUGAACCCGGAGCUUGCUCCGGUGGAUUAGUGGCGAACGGGUGAGUAACACGUGAGUAACCUGCCCUUGACUCUGGGAUAACUGCGGGAAACUGUAGCUAAUACCGGAUACGACCCUCGGCGGCAUCGCCAGGGGGUGGAAAGAAUUUCGGUCAAGGAUGGACUCGCGGCCUAUCAGCUUGUUGGUGAGGUAACGGCUCACCAAGGCGACGACGGGUAGCCGGCCUGAGAGGUUGACCGGCCACACUGGGACUGAGACACGGCCCAGCAUCCUACGGGAGGCAGCAGUGGGGAAUAUUGCGCAAUGGGCGAAAGCCUGACGCAGCAACGCCGUGUGCGGGAUGACGGCCUUCGGGUUGUAAACCGCUUUCAGCAGGGAAGAAGCCGCAAGGUGACGGUACCUGCAGAAGAAGCACCGGCUAACUACGUGCCAGCCGCCGCCGUAA
rnacentral:rRNA from 1 species